GAUGGUACUGCGGUAACACGUGGGAGAGUAGGUCGGUGCCAAAU
rnacentral:rRNA from 1 species